UUAAAGCUAGCCUAUCCACCUACCUCAAACCCAACAUUAUUAAUUACCUUACGUAUUUACACCUAACUAAAACAUUUUAUCAUUUUAGUAUGGGCGACAGAACAAAAACUCAGCGCAAUAGACCAUGUACCGCAAGGGAAAGCUGAAAGAGAAAUGAAACAAAUAAUUAAAGUAAUAAAAAGCAGAGAUUCCACCUCGUACCUUUUGCAUCAUGAUUUAGCUAGAAAAACUAGACAAAGAGAUCUUUAGCCUAUCUUCCCGAAACUAAACGAGCUACUCCGAAGCAGCACAACUUAGAGCCAACCCGUCUCUGUGGCAAAAGAGUGGGAAGACUUCCGAGUAGCGGUGACAAGCCUAUCGAGUUUAGUGAUAGCUGGUUGUCCAAGAAAAGAACUUCAAUUCUGCAUUAAUUCUUUCAUCACCAAAAAGUCUAUCAUACUAAGGUCAAACAUAAGAAUUAAUAGUUAUUCAGAAGAGGUACAGCCCUUCUGAACCAAGACACAACUUUCAAAGGAGGGAAAUGAUCACAUUUAUCAAGGUUCUUACCCCAGUGGGCCCAAAAGCAGCCACCUGUGAAGUAAGCGUCACAGCUCCAGUCUCACAAAAACCUAUAAUUCAGAUAUUCUUCUCAGCACCCCCUUGACUAUAUUGGACUAUUUUAUAAAAUUAUAAAAGAACUUAUGCUAAAAUGAGUAAUAAGAGGUUAAACCUCUCCCGACACAAGUGUACAUCAGAAAGAAUUAAUUCACUGAUAAUUAAACGAACCCAAACUGAGGUCAUUAUAUUCAUAUUUUACCUUAACUAGAAAAUCUUAUUAUAACAUUCGUUAAUCCUACACAGGAGUGUCUUAAGGAAAGA
rnacentral:rRNA from 1 species